rnacentral:rRNA from 1 species
UUUCCUACGGGGGGCAGCAGUGGGGAAUAUUGCACAAUGGGGGAAACCCUGAUGCAGCGACGCUGCGUGAGUGAAGAAGUAUUUCGGUAUGUAAAGCUCUAUCAGCAGGGAAGAUAAUGACGGUACCUGACUAAGAAGCCCCGGCUAACUACGUGCCAGCAGCCGCGGUAAUACGUAGGGGGCAAGCGUUAUCCGGAUUUACUGGGUGUAAAGGGAGCGUAGGUGGCAGGGCAAGUCAGAUGUGAAAACCCGGGGCUCAACUCCGGGAGUGCAUUUGAAACUGUUUCCCUUGCGUGUCGGAGAGG